UGAAACCAAGAGUCGGAUGCUUAACUGACUGAGCCACCCAGGUGCCUCUCUCUCUCUCUCUCUCUCUCUCUCUCUCUCUCUCUUUUGUUUCAAGUUUUUAUUUAAAUUCUAGUAGCUUAACAAUGAAUCUCUCUCAUUUAAAAGCAUUGAUGCAUUUUAUAUGUAACUCAGGAAUAACAAUUUUAAAAUGUGUUGGUCAAUCAGAUAAUACCAUUGUAAACUCUAUUAUAAACUUUUUAAUGUACUUAAGUUCCAAAUAUUAGUUAUCUUAAAUCAUUUAAUAGUAGGAUUUGCAGCUCUUUGGUGUAACCCUGGCAUCUCUUGCUAGUGUAUCUUUUUUUUUUUUCCUUGCUAACUAUUCUUUGCUCUCCUCUGACUAUUUUCAUCACAAAUCUAAUAGUUUAUAUAUUUGUUACAGUUGGUUUAUAAUGCCAGCACUUUAGUUUACAAUCAUGACUAUAUAUGUGUAUCGACUAUUUUUUUAUGGGAGGUCAGAGGAUAGAGUUCUUUUCAUGCCUGCCUCUGUCUGCCUCCUCCACUUAUCUUUUGAGGAUCUGUAACUCAAGAAAUUUUCAAUGUUUGGUCUCCAUGUUUCUAAGUAAACACAACUGUUAAGGAUAAGAAGAAAGAAGCCUAAAAAACUGAGUAUUAUUGAAUUGAAUCUAUUUAACCUCCAGUAUGACCAAGAAGGAUUUGAAGCCAAGCCCUCAAACUGGCUUCCUAAAUGAAGAGUGAGUUCCCACACCUGGAGGAACAAGUAUCCCUGUGGUCAGAGAUGAGCAAUGGAGAAAUCUGCUCAGGCUGCUCCAAGGGAACAAUUUUGACAAGAAACAUAAUUUAGAAAGAAACCUACAAAAGAUGAACCACACAUUCUGGUUCUAUAAAAUUUCGGCUGAAUGGGAUGCUCCUUCUGAAACAUAGAACAGUUUAAUAAGCAAACUCUGUUGGAUGGAGACUUUAGGAAAACAUCAUGUGGAAGCCAAGGAGAACAGCAAACCGAGG